rnacentral:rRNA from 1 species
UACGUAGGGACCAAGCGUUGUUCGGAUUUACUGGGCGUAAAGGGCGCGUAGGCGGCGUGACAAGUCACUUGUGAAAUCUCCGGGCUUAACUCGGAACGGUCAAGUGAUACUGUCGUGCUAGAGUACAGAAGGGGCAACUGGAAUUCUCGGUGUAGCGGUGAAAUGCGUAGAUAUCGAGAGGAACACCUGCGGCGAAGGCGGGUUGCUGGGCUGACACUGACGCUGAAGCGCGAAAGCUAGGGGAGCGAACGGG